rnacentral:rRNA from 1 species
GCAUCCCGCCCGAUCUGCGAAGUUAAGCAACGUUGGGCUGACGUCAGUACCAGAAUCGGAGACGGUCUGGGAACACGCAGUGUCGUAGACU